rnacentral:lncRNA from 1 species
GGCAACCCCACCUCAGCUAUUCAAUCAAAGCACUGAAAUUGGAGCAAGAAGAUCCACCUUCUUCAACAGCAUUCCUGGUCGUUUCUUCUAGCUUCUUUGUUCUGCUCCUCAUUUCCUCUGCUUCUCUACAGCUUCACUUUUAACAUGAUCUCCAUGCACUGUAAGCCAUUCCUCAACUCCAACACCAACUCCAGUUUUUAAAACAUCGGUCACCAACUUUUCAUUAUGGAAUUGCUCAGCAAAACAUCAGGCACCAUCCUCAAUGAGUCACAAAUGCACCUAUUGCUUCAUGAUCAAGAAUCAAAACUUGGAGUGCUCAUCCUCUAAUAAUUAGGCCUUUGCCUUCCAUUCUUCCCUCAAAUCCUUCAGGUAAACAAUCCUUCAGAUAAAUUGAUGCCUGCUGCAAUCUCCUUAAGCUGAGAGGCAGUGAAGUUUGCCAUGCUUCCAAAGCAAAUAUAAACAACUGAAUUUGGUUUCUUUGAGUCGAGUCACUUCAACUGAAUUUGCCAUGUUGAGCAAUUGAGGCUUGUUUUCCUCUUCCUGCUUCAUCUUCAUUGUCUCUAUUGCAUAGCGAAACCAGGCCCACGUUAAUUCACACCCUCUUUAAUUGACCCAACAAGACAAUGUCCUAACCAUACAGGUUCCUCUUCUACAGAUUCAUGGAUCACUUUAUGCAAAGCAGAGGCAUGAUUUUCUGGAAAAAGAGUGUCUUGGGAACUUACAGUAGAUUUCGUUGGAACUCUUCUCUCAGGACGUAGCAUAGCUUCUUGAAUCUCUGUUUCUAAUCGGAACAGGG